AAUGCAUGAAAGUGAAAAGUGAAAGUGAAGUCACUCAGUCGUGUCUGACUCUUAGUGACCCCAUGGACUGCAGCCUACCAGGCUCCUCCAUCCAUGGGAUUUUCCAGGCAAGAGUACUGGAGUGGGGUGCCAUUGCCUUCUCCCAUAGACUCCCUAGGGGUGGUGAAAAGGGUCAUCACCGUGUGUCUGUGAUUUCAGGAGGUAUCUGGGAUCGCUGUGGAGGACCAGGGGCCAGACCCCAUCUCGAGGAGGUUUCUGGGAUACUCCCUUGGGUGUCAGUGCUCCUCCCUCAGCCCUUUGGUACAUGCACAUCCUGGGGGCCUCUGGCCAGAGAUGGAAUUGGGGCCCAGGAGCUGCUGGCUCAGUUUAGCCACCACACUCCUGCAGGAGUCCUGGGAAACAAGGAAAUUCUCAGUGGGUCUGAGGGGUUUGGAAACCUCGGCUGCCAGGCUCAUCAUAAACUGUCUAAAAGGCAUUGAAUGUACUUUACCACAAUCACUGUCCAAGGGAAAACUGUACUGGUCAUCUGCACAAAUAGAUCCGCUGCAUCGUGACUGUAUCUGAAGACAGUGGGAGUGGCAGUAUUUACAUACAGCCUGUUAAUAGUACAAACUGUAUUGAAGACCCAGUACAGCUUGUAGCAGCUCGUACUGUUGAAACCAAGGCAGAGGUUCUACUGGGGUCCCAGCUAGUGCACUUAGAAUUAAGGGAACAUUUAACUAAACUUCAGACAAAGUGCCCAGUGAACUUUAAAAAAUAAAGAUAUUGCAGAAGCAUACAAUUUAAUUUUCUACCUAAUCAAUAAUGUUAGCAUAUCAGUAUUAAAAUCAAAAUGAGAACAUCUGGUAAACUGCAACCAAGGAGAGACACUGUCUCAGACAGUAUAACGUGAGGUAUGAUGAAGGAAAAUUGGAAGUGAGGUGACCACCUCUAAAUUCUCUUUUCAGCUAGGCUACUUGGUGAGCUUGAAUAAUAGCUCUUUUAGAAGAACAAAUAUAAAUAAUGACUUGUAAGGGCCAGAAAGAGGAUGCAAAAUAUUGAGGUGUAUAAGUCCCAUGUCACUCCCUCCCCUAGGUGGGCUAUUGUUGAUAAUAUCACUAGAAAAAAAUUACCUUUCUUUGCCUAUUUAACCCAGAUUUAUCAUUGCAUUGCAAUUGGGUGGAGUCUUCUCAAGGUACAGGGCAUACUGACAUGAAAAAAAUAGACCACAGGCAUGUAAGUCACAUUUGUGAUGCCAAAUCUUAGUAAUUUCUCCCUUAAGAAUGUUCUCUUUUAUCUUGAUCUUAUUAUAGCCAGACAAGGCAGAAGUUUUGUUAAAGCAAUUGAAUAUGGAUGGAUCCUUACUAGUCAGUCAAGAAGUCACAUUUAUAAUAAGUUCUUCUGUUGCUGUAGGAGAAGCAAACAAGCUAUCACCAAGGAAUGAGCUUUGGGUCGUAGAGUCUCCUAAUGAUUAGGGUUCUGAUGCUUUCAAUUCAAGAGGGGCUGGUAAGUGAGCAUUAUGUAAGCAAUUAUCAAAUGACUCAUCAAAUCAGUGACAUCCUCAAAUGCCUGCCAAUUCCUAUGUUGGCAGCUGCUUUCCACCCAGACCUCAGGGAAGGAAACAGCCUGGGCCCCAGGCAGUGGCAAAGGAGUUCUAGGAUUCUGGGCCACUCACUACUCAAUUCCUUUUCCCUGUUCCAUUUUGCAAAUUUAUUUUGAGACCAUCUAUUUCAACUUUGUCAUUUUUUAGAAGGCUGCUGGGACCUGGAGGUUUAAAGGGCUCAUUUAGCAGUUUAAACCAGAUCUUGGCCUGUGUUGGAAGUCUUCCUGACUUUUCCCAGAUGCUCUCAAGUUACUGACAUCUCAUUUAAGAAUAAGGAAUGGCAUCAGUGCUAAAUGCCACUUGCUUCUUGUCUUACCUCAUAAUAUUUUCUUUAUCUAAAGGUAGAAUAGGAAUAAAGGGAUUUAGGCUUGUAUUGGAAGCUCAGCUCUGUUCCACGUUAGCUGUGUGACACUGGGGUAGUUAUUUAACUUCUCUGGUCGGAAUUUUAUCAUCUAUGAAACUGAGCUAGAAAGUAUAAUCCCAGGUUGACUGUGAGGAUUAAACAAGUAUCAUUGUGAAAGGCUCAGGUACUCCGAUGGUCUAGCACUCAUCAAUCCUAGUUUUCUCUACUAAACUAUGACCCCCACCUGACCUGUGAGGCUUUAACAGGUAUUCUCUUGAGUAACUUCUUUUUCCCUUCUGGUUUGGUUUCUCAUAUUUAAAACAAGAGCCUUGGGCUGGAUAAUACCUAAAGUCCCUCUUAGCUGUAAGAGGGACUUACAACUUUUUAAUUUAAUUUUCAUUUUUUUAAGGUUUUAAAAAUAACAUUUAUUUCUGAAAGCUGACAUGUACAUAAUAAGAAAACAAACAAACAAAAAAAAACAGGAAGCAAAAAAAGUCAUCCAUAAUCACAAGCAAUUUAGCAUUUGCUGUGUGAGGGCCUUACAGCUUGCUUUAGGCCCUGGCUACUUAGCUCCUGUUGCUGUGUCCCCACGGUUUCCUUUUUUUCCAAGACCAAAAUUGGCAGAUGAAUUUUCUACAGCACAGAGAUUCUUUACAUCCCUGCCUUGACCCUAAAGGAAAUUUUAAAAGAAGUCUACAUCUGCCUCACCUUAUGCUGAUUCUGGACCCAUGGUGGGGAGCAUGGGGAAUAGCCGAAUCUAGGGGUUUAAAUGACAUCAUUGGAACUUUGCUUUGUUUGGUUCUGCUUUCCUGUGAUGACUCUCUCCAGAAGGCAACAAAAGUAGCCAUGGGCCUCAGAGAGAGAGCACAGUCCUUCUCCCUGACAUUUCUGCCAAAGUAGAGAAAGGACCCUGACUCUUCUUCUUAGGUCACAUACUUGUCUCUGGACUAACCACUGUAUCUCUUAGGAGGAUGACGCUCUCUGGCCAUCUUGAGGAACAGGGCCAUCUUGAGGCGUGAGAGGCGGAGGGCUGUAGGACUGAUGGGCCCACUAGACUUAAAAGGAACAGGGAAGAGCAGUUUACAAAACUGUAUGUAUUUACCACUCACAUGGGCUGCACACAUCAUCCCAGCACACUCAUAGCUCCCUUCACCACAUGCCAUCAUCCUGGCAUCUGAGACUAAAGGAGGCACAGUCCUGGCUUCUGGCAGCCACAAAUUGAAAGUUGACACAACCCCCUGCUCCCACCCCUGGCCAGUACUAUUUGCCUUGAUUGGAGGAAAAACUAUCAUAUUCAAGUUGAAUAGUUACUAGCCAAGGACCUUUUGCAGAAACUUUUCUGGAAGUUGUAGGGUGUACUCUAAACACUGGCUAUCGUUGCCAGGGUCCUGAGUCACUUCCAUGUCCUGGCUCCCCAGUAGACCACUGGCUUCUGCUGCUGUUUCAUUGGUUGUAUUCUGGGGUAGGAGGCCAGGGUCAGGGCAGAGGAAGGGGCUUUGGGAGUUGCCUAAAAAGUCAGUAGAGCAGCUGGAUUUUUAUCUGCUACUUUUUAUCUGCAUUUCCAUUCUUGUUAACAACUUCUCUACAUUAGCAUAUACCCAGAGGAUUGCUUAGCGACUAGAGACUGGAAAAACCUUAACUUUUGCUUUUAAGAAACCGUGAAGGGGAAAAUAUUCGUGACAGAACAAGGGGAGGAAAUAGGUCACAUACUAAAGAGUGAUCCCUCCAGCUUGUCAGGCAUAAGACAUACCCGAGAUUUUGAAGAGAGGUCCCUCCCAAUAGGCACCACUAUCUGAAUACCCCACCUGAGAAUCUAUUAGCAUAUGUCUCACAUGAAUGAAAAAAGGUGCCUCUGCAAAUGCAAGUUUUUAGCUCACAGCCACCCCUGACUCUGGGGCUCAUGUAGGUCACAGAUGUGCAGCCUAACAGGGUGGGGACCUUGUUUCUCAUCAGAACAUGAGGUUCUCUAGAACAGAUGCUAUUUCUUUAGUUCUCUGUUAUGUACCCAAUAAAAUUCAGC
ensembl:lncRNA